rnacentral:lncRNA from 10 species
GGCAAAUCUUGAAAAGAAGUCUCUUACCAAGAGAUAUCAUAGAGUGAAUAUUGAACUGUUUUGGUUUAGCACCAAGAUUUUAUUGUUCUUAAAGGUUGGAUUUCGAGAGCCUGGGAAGUCCAAGAUCAAGGUGCCAGCAGAUUCAGUGUGUGGUGAGAGCUCUAUUUCUGGUUUGAAGACAGCCAGCCACCUUCUUGCUGUAUCCUCACAUGGGAGAAAGAGAGACAGAUUGUCUCUUUCAUGUCUUUUCUUAUGAAGGCACUAAUCUCAUUCAUGAGGGCUCCCCUUUCAUGGGCUAAAUGUUUCCGAAAGGCCCCACCUCCAAAUACCGUCACAUUGGGACUUAAUGUUUCAACAAAUGAAUUUGGGGUCUGAGGACAAAAACAUUCAACCCAUAGCACACUGCAGACAUUUAUUGAACAUCUAACAUAUGCCAAGAGCUACGCUGGGGAUUUGAAUUUGAAAGAUACCUUUCCCUAUAGGACAUUACAAAGGAAAUUGGUAGAAAACGAAGUCAUAUUAUAGCUCUCAAGAAGACAAUACAUUGUUAUUUACUGACAUAAGAUGUAGAGAAAAAAACUGUUUAAAAAAGGAAUGUCGUCUUGUAGUGAAAUUGUGGUUUUACAGUUGAUCCUAUUUAUUGCUUGUACUUAAGGAGCUUAUUUACUAUUCUAGUCUUUAAUUAUAAUAUUAGGGAAGUAAGCAAGAUAGAGUCAAGAAUGUUUCCUUGUUUUCUAGAUCCUUAACACAAUUAGUAAGGUAGCCUGUUCUUUCAUUUGAGGAAACUCAAAUCUCUUAUAAAGCCUGAUCUUUUAUAAUGUGGCAUGUAAUGUAGCUUUUGAUUUGGUUUUGGUAGCAUAGAUCUAAUUCAGAAGAAUAUUACUGAAAUAUGAGGGGGAUAAACUGUUCUCUUUUAAAAAGACAGUGCCAAGGUGAUUUGUGUAAUUGAAAUUCUAUCUUUAUAAGUACAGUUGUGCCAUAAAAUUCAGGCUAGCAGCCAGACUGUCAAACUUCUUACUAGUUUCAUGAAAAAGAAGGUUUGCCCAAUUCUUCACUGGUUCUCACACAAAUAAAGCUGUUUUGGGAAACAGAAUAAGAAAUAGAAGAUCUUUUAUUUCAAAGCCCCUGUAAAAGACAAACAGAGGAAGAAUGGUCAAAUACAAUACAUAAAGACCAAUACGGUAAAACAAUC